rnacentral:rRNA from 1 species
UUUCAACUUGAGAGUUUGAUCCUGGCUCAGAACGAACGCUGGCGGCAGGCUUAACACAUGCAAGUCGAGCGGGCCCUUCGGGGUCAGCGGCAGACGGGUGAGUAACGCGUGGGAACGUACCAUUUGCUACGGAAUAACUCAGGGAAACUUGUGCUAAUACCGUAUGAGCCCCCCUUUAAAAUUU